rnacentral:rRNA from 1 species
AGUCGCCGCGGUAAUACGUAGGGUGCAAGCGUUAAUCGGAAUUACUGGGCGUAAAGCGUGCGCAGGCGGUUAUAUAAGACAGAUGUGAAAUCCCCGGGCUCAACCUGGGAACUGCAUUUGUGACUGUAUAGCUAGAGUACGGCAGAGGGGGAUGGAAUUCCGCGUGUAGCAGUGAAAUGCGUAGAUAUGCGGAGGAACACCGAUGGCGAAGGCAAUCCCCUGGGCCUGUACUGACGCUCAUGCACGAAAGCGUGGGGAGCAAACAGGAUUAGAUACCCCCGUAGUCCCUGUCUCUUAUACA